AUGUCCAGUUCUUUUCUUCUCUUUCAGAAGUUAGAAGUUACGGAAGAAGAAAAUUAGAGUAUUUGAGCUUGAAUCUGUCAAAAAUCCUCAUAGCGCUUCAUGUUUGUGGUUUGUUAUCGUUAUUAUUAAGCAUUUAAGAUUUGAUUUACUUGAUUUUAUAAACUUUAAUAGGUUAAGACUCGACUUUCAUAAAUAUAGCAGCAGUUGCUAACGAGGAGGCUAGGCGUCAUGUACAUUCUGAUGAAAGGCGAGAAAGGUACCUGGUUUAUCCAUCCAACACGAAUAUGGGUUGAGGCGGUGUCGAGUUCAUAAGGAAGUUGGUUAUCUAUAA